rnacentral:rRNA from 1 species
AACAAUACGGGGCUUAAUGUCUUGUAAUUGGAAUGAUGGGAAUUUAAACCUCUUCCAGAGUAUCAAUUGGAGGGCAAGUCUGGUGCCAGCAGCCGCGGUAAUUCCAGCUCCAAUAGCGUAUAUUAAAAUUGUUGCAGUUAAAAAGCUCGUAGUUGAAUUUCUGCUACAUUGCCUAUUCUCCUUUACGAGUUUGGGUCUUUUGUGGCUUAUCUGGGUUCGCUUGCGUUCCCGGUGUUUUACUUUGAGAAAAUUAGAGUGCUCAAAGCAGGCUUUUGCCUUGAAUAGUUUAGCAUGGAAUAAUAAAGUAGGACUUUGGUUCUAUUUUGUUGGUUUUAGGUACCAAAGUAAUGGUUAAUAGGAACAGUUGGGGGCAUUCGUAUUUA